rnacentral:rRNA from 1 species
UACGUAGGGGGCAAGCGUUGUCCGGAAUUAUUGGGCGUAAAGAGCGUGUAGGCGGUCCGGUAAGUCAGCUGUGAAAGUCAAGGGCUCAACCCCUUGAAAGCCGGUUGAUACUGUCGGGCUAGAGUCCGGAAGAGGCGAGUGGAAUUCCCGGUGUAGCGGUGAAAUGCGCAGAUAUCGGGAGGAACACCAAUGGCGAAGGCAGCUCGCUGGACGGUACUGAGCGCUGAGG